UCCUUUUGAGUUUGGGUUUAUUUAGUUAGAAAGUUAUUUAUGAACUUUAUGGCUUAUGCAUCGAAGAAUAAAUAUUUAUUCUGCGCAUGAGAGCUUCAACAAUCAACAUUAAUACCUUAUGUGCUCACAACUACUGGAAACAAAACCCAGAUGUCACCCUAAAUACAUCUCUUGCGUGGACUGUAAUCGUGAUGAUUGAAGUUUAGCCAAACUCAAAUCACUGUCACUGUCCAUCAUUUGCAGCUGAGAAUAUUUUUAUUGUAUAAUUUGUUGACAUUAUACUGCUGAAGCUGUCAAAAGUGCAGCUUUUGAGGUAUGCAUCGUACACUAUUUCUUUCAUUUGGCAUAUAUUAUAUGGAGUAAUGGAGUCUUCUACUUCUUGAUACUUUGUUACUCUAUAUGUUAAAGGAAUUUAAAAGCACGAGUGAUGAAGAAGCUGCAGUUUUGGCUGCUUCCAAAGCUGCAUCCACUGUGAUUGAUGCUUCUAAUUCAAUUGAAGUUUGAAGGAGUUCUAGUAGUACAGAGAAUGAAUCCACGCAGUAAAAAGAUAGAAACUAAUGAGGAUGAAAAAUACCUUUCAAGGAAUAAUGGAUAAGGAGUAUGAAAAAGCAGAAGACCAAGCUUUGUAGUUUAUUAUUGUGUAUUGGAAUUUGAUUAAAACAAUGGAUGUGUUUUGUAAUAUUCUUAGCAAAUUAUUUCAAAUAAUAUAAUAUGUAAUGAAUUGUAUCAUGUAUGUUGUAUGCAUUCGGAUUUUA